rnacentral:rRNA from 1 species
UACAGAGGGGGCAAGCGUUAUUCGGAAUUAUUGGGCGUAAAGAGCGUGUAGGCGGCCAGGUAGGUCUGCUGUGAAAACUCGAGGCUCAACCUCGAGACGUCGGCGGAAACCAUCUGGCUAGAGUCCGGAAGAGGAGAGUGGAAUUCCUGGUGUAGCGGUGAAAUGCGCAGAUAUCAGGAGGAACACCGGUGGCGAAGGCGGAUCUCUGGGCCAUUACUGACGCUGAGGAGCGAAAGCGUGGGGAGCGAACAGG